AUUGAACGCUGGCGGCAGGCCUAACACAUGCAAGUCGAACGGUAACAGGAAGAAGCUUGCUUCUUUGCUGACGAGUGGCGGACGGGUGAGUAAUGUCUGGGAAACUGCCUGAUGGAGGGGGAUAACUACUGGAAACGGUAGCUAAUACCGCAUAACGUCCCAAGACCAAAGAGGGGGACCUUCGGGCCUCUUGCCAUCGGAUGUGCCCAGAUGGGAUUAGCUAGUAGGUGGGGUAACGGCUCACCUAGGCGACGAUCCCUAGCUGGUCUGAGAGGAUGACCAGCCACACUGGAACUGAGACACGGUCCAGACUCCUACGGGAGGCAGCAGUGGGGAAUAUUGCACAAUGGGCGCAAGCCUGAUGCAGCCAUGCCGCGUGUAUGAAGAAGGCCUUCGGGUUGUAAAGUACUUUCAGCGGGGAGGAAGGGAGUAAAGUUAAUACCUUUGCUCAUUGACGUUACCCGCAGAAGAAGCACCGGCUAACUCCGUG
rnacentral:rRNA from 1 species